UUUUCUUUUCUUUUCUUUUCUUUUUUUUUUUUGAGACAGGCUCUCACUCUGUCACCCAUGCUGGAGUGCACUGGUGUGAUCAUAGCCCACUGCAGGUUCAAUCCUUAGGCUCAAGACAUCCUCCCACCUCGGCCUCCCAAGGAGCUUGAGACUACAGGCAUGCAUCACUAUGCCUAGCUCUUUUAUUUUUUAUUUUCUAGAGGCAGGGUCUUGCUAUGUUGCCCAGACUGUUCUCAAAUUCCAGGGCUCAAGCAAUCCUCCUGCCUUGGCCUCUCAAAGCGUUUGGGUUACAGGCAUGAGCCACCAUGCCCAACCCCAAUUUUCAGUAGCACUGUCUUUUACAUAUUUAUUUUUAGGAACUUCAUAUACUUAAAAGCUAUGUAUGUUACAAACAUCUUCUCUAUCUCUGUGCCUUGCCCUUUCACUCCUGUAUGAAAAUUCUCUGAUGAAAUAAAGUGAUCAGUUUUAUUGCAGGCAAAUAAUCAUUCAUCCUGUGUGGCUAGUGCAUUCAGGUUCUGUUCAAAACAUCUUCUAUUACCCAGAGGUCGCCAGAUAAUCUAUAUUAUCUAUAUUAUCUGGUAGGAGCUGUUCUACCCACAUAUUGAGUUGAUUUCUUGUAUGGGGAGGUAGACACACAAUUUUAUUUUAUUUUUGCGAACAGUUAAUUGUCUUAGCACCAUCUGUGAAAAGAUCACCCUUCCUCUACACCUCCUCCUAGCACCAGGGUAAAAAAUAAAGAAAGGGAGGAGGAAUCUGGUUCCAUCAAAGCUGUUUUGAGCUCAGUAUUCAAUUAUUUUGGUCUGUUGAUCUCUUUCUGCCUUUGGGUCCAGGUAUCUGGAUCACCACUGCUUUAGAGGACACCCUGCUGUCUGGUACAGCAAAGGCCCUCACACUGUGUUCUUCAAGGGUAGCUUGGCUCUGCUUGGCCUUUGCUAUGUGCUUGUCAGUAUUCUCUCACCCAACAGAACUAUGGUUGACUGGGAUUUAUACUUUCAGGUCUUCCACAGCCUUUUAACUAUUUAUUGAGAUCUUUUUUACUGUCUCUCAACAAUGUUUAAUAAUUUCCCCCCCAACAAACCAUCUAAAGAUCUUUUGUUGGCUUGCAAUUGGUAACUACAAGACUUUGGAUGGUACUGGAAAUCUCUUAAAACAUUAUUUUCCAUCUACUUGUUUCUGGUACAUAGAUCUAGAAGUGUUUUCUGUAUAUUGAUUUUUUUAUGUGAUAACCAUUCCCAAAUGUCUUACUAAUAAUUAGGGGUUUUUUUGGACUUUCUAAAUUAAUAACCAUAUCAUCUGUGAGUUGCAUGUUUUAUUUUCCAAGUUUUACACCUUGUACUUUCUUUUCCUCCUCUGUCUGCUAUACAGUGUUGGAAGAAGUGGUGAUGGAUGGAGUCCUUGUCCUGUUUCCAAUCUCAAAGGCGACACUUUCAAGGUUUCAUGUUUGUGUAAUAUUAGCUUGUUUUCUUUAUACUAUUGCUUAUGAAAUUAAGGAAAAAAUGUUUUUAUUUAGAGUUUGUUAAGAAUUAUAUGACAUGAAUUGAUGCUAAAUUUUUCCAAAUUUUUUUUGCAUAUUUAUGAUGUUGUACUUUAUCCAAUGCUUUUAGUCUCCAUAUUGGGGUAAUCACAUUCGUUUUUCUUUCAAUCUAUUAAUGUCACAUUUUGUACUGAUUUUCAAAUGUUUCUCAUGUUAAACCAGCCUUGCACUACUGGACUAUGACUUUUGUCAUUGUGUGUUAUCCUCUUGAUAAAUUGCUGAAUUCAGGGUGCUAAUACUUAGUUUAAGAUAAUGAGCCUUGACACUGAUAAGAGAUUGGCCAAUUUUAAUUCUUCAUAUUCACCCUGUCAGAGCUUUGUAUUAAUGAUAUUUACCUACAUUAAACGAGAUAGAGCACUGAGGUCCUUUUUCAAUACUCUAGAGGAAUGUGUAUGAACAUGGAAUAAUUUCUUUCUAUAAUAUUUGGUACAGUUUACAGUAGAGCACUGGGGUAAUCUUCUAUGAGAAGAUUAUUUGUUGCAUUUCUAUAAAAGGUUAUAGGACUGUUCAACUUACCUAUUUUUACUUUUGAUAUAGUUUUGAAGAAAUUGAUCAAUUUGCCAAAACUUUUCAAAUUUGAUUACAUAAAUAAUAGGGCCGGGCAUGGUGGCUCACCCCUGUAAUUAGAGCACUUUGGGAGGCCGAGGCAGGCCAGACUCUUUUAACAAAAUAUAUACAUAUCUUAGGUGUGCUGAGAUAGCUUAAGCUCUUUCUUCCUUUCUACUGCUAAAUUCAUAAAUCAGACUCCAAGGGGGAAUUCUGACUCAGAAUGUUGUAACUAGAGACAAAAGGAAAGCCAGAUUAGCCUUAAGAAGAGCACUUGGAAUCUCACAAUUGUAUCCCAGGGGCACAGUCACCAGCCCUCUGGGCUGGGAUUUUUUGCACAGACACUGCAAGAAAACAAGGACCGAGAUUUUGCCACGUAUAGGUGCACAGUGAGCUUCUAAAGCUUCUAGAUCCAUGAAAAAAAAAGGAAAGAGUCUCCUGGGACACCAAAAGCUUUGAUGCUCCGAAGUUCAGUCUGGAGAGAAUUCCAACUGGGACUGCGUGGGCAGAAUUUCCCCUAUGUGGUUCAUAUGAAUUCAAAAUGUCUCUCAUGGGCUAGAAGCCCCACAUGGUGCUGAAGGGAGGCAGGCGGGAGAUACUGGAUGAUAGAAAGGACACCCCACUUUCCCAGGGGAGGCACCUGGUCCACCUCAGACCACAGGGCCAGAUAGUGCCAGGGGCCUGGACACCAAAGAGCACGGGGGUUUGGGGCAGGGGCUCAGUGUGAUGAGGCUGCACUGCAUGGGAACGCCGCUCCAAGUGCACCACAGGGCCUGGCCCUCCCUGUACCCUCCCAUCCAGCCAAGCCUGGCCCAGCCACAGGCAUGAACCUGGUAAGUGAGGGCAUGGAGAAGUGGAGAGGUGGAGUCUCAUGGAAAGGGCACUGGGGGCCGUGAAGUCCAUCAGCCAGUCUCAUCAUCACCUCCACACAAGGUCACUCUCCAUCCCCCAGAGUACUGACCUGCCACGUGCAGGCGGAAGGAGAGCCGCUGGCCCCCCGCCUCGCAGCUGUACUCCCCAGCGUCUGCCUGACCCGCCUGCUGCACCACCAGCCUCCGUGUGCAGCCCUCGGCCUCCACAUGCACUUUCGAGCUGGAGCUCAGCUUCUUCCCGUCCUUGUACCACAUCACCUCCGUCUGGGCCUGGGCCACCUCGCAGUUGAGCGUGGCGCUGGCCCCCGCCUGGGCCUGCACCUCCCUGUGCACCAGCUGCUCCUUGGCAAACACCGCCUUGGGCUCUGGGGAAGGCAAAAUGCACAGGGUGACCACCACCAUCUAGGUCAGGAAGGCAGAACUGGGGAGAGAAGGCCUGGAAGGGGAGGUGCGAGGGACAGAUGCUCUCCAGGCUGCACCACCACCUCCCAGCACAAGGAAGCUUCUCCAUCUAUUCUGUACGGUGCCACAGGCUGUCCUUGGUAGGGUGGCUGUGACAGAUCUUGCAAGCACGAGCUCAUCUGGGGCAGGGAUUGGUGUCCUGAUGCCUGUACCCUUCCCCUCAUGAAUGGAGCAAGGGUCUCCCCAUGCGGCUGUGCAGGGCGCAUCCUCACCACAGAACCCCAGUCCUGAGGCUCCCAAUCCUGCCACUGUCAGGACGGUCAGCUUUGGCCUCAGUGGGGUGUGUCACUGUGGCUUUCUUUAUUGUUCUACGGCUCACAGGGCUGAGCAUCUUUCUAGAGGAUUGGCCAUUCUGUUUGCUCCUCUGUAGUGUCACUACUCAAUUCUAUCCCAUUAUUAAUAGCACUGUCUUGUCUUUAUUCACUUUAAGGCAGCAGUCCCCAACAUUUUUGGCAGCAGGGACCAGUUUCAUGGAAGACAAUUUUUCCACAGAUGGAGGUCUGGGGGACAGUUUCAGGAUGAAACUGUUCCACUUCAGAUCAUCAGGCAUUAGAUUCUCGUAAGGAGCACAACCUAGAUCCCUCCCAUGCACAGUUCCCAAUAGGGUUCAUGUUCCUAUGAGAAUCUAGUGCUGCUGCUGAUCUGACAGGAGGCAGAGCUCAGGCAGGAAUGCUCACCUGCCACUUACCUCCUACUGUGUGGCCCAGUUCCUAACAGGCCACAGAACAGUACUGGUCC
ensembl:lncRNA